GGGAUACUACCACACAAAUAUCCACUUGUCCUCUUGGGACUCAGUUUUCCUUAUUGUGAUUCACUAUAACUUAACUGCUGUAUUCAAACCUACCUUGAGUGAAUUUAAAAAGAUGGGCUGGUUAAUAUCAAUAGAUUUGAGUGUGUCAUACUUUUUACUUUUGAUACUUAAGUACUGUUUUACUUUAGUAGUGUUUUCCUAGAUUACUUAUAUUUUUACUUGAAUAACAUUUUAGUGGUAUCUAUACUUUUACCUAAGUAGGAAAACUGAGUAGAUUUUCCACCACUGACAUCUUCUAAGCAUCUGCUGCAGCUCAGGGUGUUUGUUUCCACCCUGUGAUGGAGACGGAUGGCAGGUGAGUCAGAGGUGGAGGCCAGUGGAGCUGUGGAUAGCAGCAGGGUGACGGACCGCUGAGAAACAGGCAUGCCACGUGUUAAGUGGCUGGCAUCCCUAACACUCUACUGCUGCCAUGCAGGUGACCUGCAGCCCUCGCUUAGUGGAUGGACAAAAACAAGGACAACAUUCAUUGUCUUGACACCUGCUGCUCUGUGCUGCAGGUAUAAGGUGACAGCUGUGGUGAGGUGCAACAUUUGUAGAAAGAAGUGUAGAUUCAAAAAAACAAGCUGAAUUUAGCUCCUUUACCAAAACAUCAACUCAACCUACAAUAUUCCCUAGUUUUGUAGAUCUAAUCUUACGAUCUUUAAGUUGCGACCGUAAAACCAAAACAAUUAGCUAGAAAACACAAACUGAGAGAAUGUGCCACACCUUUCACACUAGUAAUUUGAUCCAUUGUUAAUAUAAAAAUACUGAUUUUUAUUCAAUGCAGUUUAAUUCUAAAUACUUUAUUCAUCCUUUAUGGGGCAAAAAAUAAAUUUAAAUUUACACACCUAUAAAAGUAAAUAUAAGAGAAAUAUGUUUGAAAGACACACACGAAGAUUAACAGCAUGUGUGCGAGUCCAUAGAAGGCCAACAAUAUCCAGCAAUCAUUUAUCGUCAUGUUUUUAAAAAUUUCCACUUCUUUCCUGCUACCAGGCACACGUCCAGCACAAUGGCGCCUAUGUCAAAAAGUUUAAAAGAUCAAAUUUAUCAGUCUGUACACAAGGUGAAAUGACAGUUUCUUGUACCGGGGCACCCGAAAUCCUCCCAUGUGUUUAGUAGGUAUUGAGCAGGUAAGAUUGAUAUAUUAUGUUUAUUGUGCAUACACAGGCUCUGACUGAGAUGCAUGGCAGACAGAGGUAAUGUGGGGGUAAGUCACAUCAACACGUAGAAUAAAUAAAAAAAUAUAAAUGCAAAGUAGGAUUUGGCAAGAAAUAUUGACUUUUCAAGGAUGGACAAUUAUUAAAACUUUUUUUUGUUUUCUUUUCUCUCUAUAUGUAAAUCAAACACAUACUGAGGUGGACUGAGGUAAGAAGUGAAGCAUUGACAUGUCUAACAACACUUCCUGUCUUCUCUCUCUCGGCAUCCAGCCGCUUAUCCUUUGUCAGCACAUGCUUCACUAUCUGAGGAGGACUGUAUUUCUAUUCUCACGAGCCAGAGAGAGGGAGAGAGAGAGAGAGAGAGAGACAGACAGACAGGCAGAGCAGAAGGGAGAGGGAGGGAGAGAGGGGAGAUGACCUUGGUUUCUCUGUGGAGCCGUCCCGCUGCCCACGUGCACUGAGGAGAUAAGCAGAGUGCUGAGAAGCCAUCGUCAAACCCUGACACCACACAGCACUACAGCUGGGCACAGUAUUCACACUGCACUGAGAUAGACUGUGUGUACAGGAACACUGUGGGACUAAGCGAUGCCUCCACUGAACAUCUGUCCACCCCCACACAGCUCUCUCUUAUCUGCCCGGUGAACACUGACUCAACUUUAAUCACAGUUGCAUGGUAGUGAAUAAUGGAGCAUAAAAACAAGUAGUGUCUUCCUGGGCACUGUCUGUUCAUCCAACUGACAUGACCCUUGUUGAAAUAUACAGGUAAAUAAACAGUUUUGAGGGCACCAUGUAAAGCUAACAGUGGAUAUUUUUCAUACCAACAGGGAUAGCUAGCUCCACAAAGCGUGAGUGUGGGACUUACAUAUAAAUGAAUGUCUGUUACAUUCAUGCCCUUCCCAAACGAGUUCACACAAUGCCUAAGCCUCCACCAGGUAAAGCUCUCUGUAUUUCGCAGUAUACCAGAGUGAAAGGGGAGGAACCCAGAGCCAUGUAGAGAGUGCCACAAUCCACCAUUGCUCAAAAAAAAAAAAAUCUUUUUAACUGAGAUUUUUUAUUUAUGUUUAUAUUGAUUGUAGUUUGCGUUAAUAUGCUUUGUAAUGUUUAACUGUAUGCAGUCAUGGCAAUAAAGCAAGUUAAAUUGAAUUUGAACUGAAUUUCUAUCCACAUGACUAUGGACGGAGCGAUGCAAACGUAGCGACGGAAUAGGCUACAGCAAGUAGGACUAUGGUAUGCAUGAGAGUGUCUGUUACGACCCUAAGGGUCAUGCGUUUGGUUUGGGAUGUGUUCCUUCUCUCUCUCUCUCUCUCUCUCUCUCUCUCUCUCUCUCUCAGGUAGUGGCCCUUCCCCCCAUGCCUCGGCUGCAUGAGUGAGUGGCAGCAGGUGUGCCUGAUCACCACUCAGUGCCUGGAGGAUAAGAAGGCUUGGGUUUUUUCACAGGACUCAGUCUGUUUCCCUUGCUACCUGUUAUGACCACACUGCAGACCCAUCAGUCCAGCGGACAGGGGCAGCCCAUUCAACCAGUGGGUUGAACACUGCCUUAGACUUCUUGUCCAAGAAAAGUUUCUGAUGCUCCAGAUAAAAAAAGGAACUCAGCGUUCAGAGGAAGCGGUACAAAGAAAGGUCAUCGGCGAGGACAAACAUGGAUAACCAUUGGCAUAGCUUUUCCUAUUGGACAGGGUUGGAAGGAGCGACUAAGACACAAAGUCGUGUUACGGCUCUUGGACAGGUUGCUAUUUGUAAAAUAUUCAAUAUAAAUGAUUAAUUCUCCCUAAAUAAUGGAUUAUUGUCUUGGAAAUGUGGAAAUGUUCUGUAUUUUGUAACUAUUUCUGAACACGAGCCUGGGGUGAGCUCACCUGUAGGCAUUCAUCAUGAGCAUGUAUCAACAGUGUUUGUGAAUUACUCUGAUUGCCAGAAGGGGGGACAAAAAUUCCACUCUGCAGGUUUAAAGCUCCAGCCUAAAAGAAAAGAGCAGACACGCUCUUACGGUGUCUUUCACUCAUGUGUCUGUUAAAGCAUUGGCUUCCACUCAUUACAGUGCAAGAUGGACUGAUUUAUGAAAUCAUGGUCAGCCUCACCCUAAGGUCCUGCAGAAGCAGAUUGCCAACAAGUCCAGAACGAUCUAGUGUGACUGAACAGGAGAUCAAUAAGAAUCUGGCCUUGAGGCUCUUGAUAUAUGAUAACCAAUAUGUGCUCACUACAAGGUGGGGAGCAGAGUACAGUUCAGAGGCAAACUGUAGCGUUGGAUUAUGUCACUAGCGUGUAGCAGGAAAGCAGUGGAAUUUGUUAAAAACAUGAUAAUGCAAGCAAAGACUGUAUGAUUGAUUUCUAAGUUAACUGCAAAAGAAAGUCGUUUAGAGAAAAAGAUGGUUGUGUAGAUAAUCAGGGCCUGAUGACACACAACGCCAUAAUCAACAUCUCAGACCGCAGACAACCACUUACUUCUUGCACACUGUAGGGAUAAGCAGACCUGGAAGCAUAUACCGAUUACUACUACAGCCAAUCUAAAAUUGAUACUCCCCAGCAAGAAUCAUCCAACCCGAAAGAAAACAGAAAAAGACAUCAUCCACAGACACAAGUGAUCUUCAGACCACAGAAACUGAGGUCACUAUCUUACAAUCCCUCAAUAAAAAACUUGAUUUUUUGUUUAAACUUCACAAUGAAAAACGGCUUCACUCAGGCCCGGUGUUCUCCAGUAUAAAAGCGCGUCUCAUGUCCUGCACUGUGGGCUAGAGACCCUGUUCCCAAUGCUCCAUGCACCUCCUUGUUUUUGUUUCUUUCACUAUACAACACUCCACUCACUAUUCCUUCAAGCAUGCAUACCUGCUGACAUGACUGACCUACUGAUUAUCACACUUCAUAGGAUUAUUUGAAUAUUAAGUUGUUUCUGUUUGCUUGAAAAAUAAAAGUAAUGGUACCCUUACUGCAGUUUUGGGUCAUACUGUUCUUUUUGUCGCGGUUUUGAGCCAGCCGUGACAAAAUGGGGGUUUGUCCAAUUUGGAUUCCCGCUGCCGUUGUUGGUUUAUAUUUAAUUGAUUCUCUUUGUGCUUGAGCUGUCCAGGUGCAGUUGAUUGUGGGGGUUUCCCUGGCAGUCUGAGUGGCCUGACCAAUCUGUGACGGGGGUUGGUACAUAUCUCAUCUGGGGGAUGGAUUUUUGUGGAAUUCCCUAGUUAAUUUGCAUAUUCUGGUUUCCGCCUCGUUUGACAUAGCCAAAUUGAGGUCGAGGAAGACACCUGGGAGAGCGGAGUGUCCUUGGUGGAACUGUGAAGUGGAAAACCUGUUUGUCCAAGGGAAGGUAAGUGUUGACAUGCUGGUGUGUAAUCGUGUUGGCACUAAAGGGAUUUCCCCGGUUAGGUAUAAGAGCGUUACUCCUUUGUGUUACGCUGGUUUGUUAUUUCUGUAGUGCUGUGGUGAAUGUGGUUGGAGACUUAGGUCUCGAGAGCAUGUUCUUGGCGGUGAGGAAGUUGCCAAUGGCUGGUCACUCUCACGCUAGCGGUCUAUAGUGUGUAAAUACCCACCGCAACUAACCAAUGAAGACUAGGGGUGAGUUACUUUAGUGUGUGGUUAGGCAGAUAGAAGGGACGCUCCUUUUUGCCUUUAUUAGUAACCAGCGUGUUGAUUACUUCAUGUUCUUUUGGUCCAGGUUUUUGAGAUUCCAUCAGAGGGGUUUCUAGAUGGCUGCACGAAAGAGCAGUUGUUGAGAAUAGCUGACCAUUAUAAGAUUGAGCUGCGAUGGACUGGCGACCUGUCCAGGGUGCCUUUCGUCCGAUGUCAGCUGGGAUUGGCUCCAGCCCCCCCGCAACCCUGUACGCAGGAUAAGCGGUUGACGAUGGAUGGAUGGAUGGAUGGAUGGAUAAGAUUGAGAUCAGUGACAAAAGGCUCGAGGACACUGUUAGGUCUGUGUUGAAGGCUAACUUGUAUGACAUGGAGGUGUUGCCAGCUGAUAAAAGUACUGUGAGAGGGUAGGUUAAGCAUGGAAGCUAGUCAGUAGCUAGGUGGAGUUAGUCCUACUUUAGGUGCACGUUCUUCACAGUAGUUUGCGGCUACUUCCGAAAUUUAAUGACAGGGACCCCGAGACAUUAUUUUCUCUGUUUGAGAGAUUAGCUGACGCUAGGGACUGGCCUGAUGGGGAUCGCACACUUGUUGCAAUGUGUUUUGACCGGUAGGGCUAAGGAAGCAAUUUCAGCUUUAUCUGUGGCAGAUGGCUUGAGUUAUGCAUCGGUGAAAACUGCUGUUCUGACCGUAUUUCCACAUAUUUAACAGAACAGCAGGUAGUAACAGUGGGUGAGGCAGCUGCCUUGGCAGAGCAGUAUGUUUUGUCUCAUUGUAGUGAUGAGACACACAGACACACACGUACACACAACUCAAAGCAUGUACCUUGUCGAUAAUAUCCAUAGCAAGCGAUUUCAAAAACAACCCCCGAUAAUUCCUAUUAAUGAAACAGGUUUUAUCAAAAGAAGACAUGCAUACAAUAACACACAGGCUGUUCAACAUCAUUCUGAUAGGCUAACUGAGAACAAUGAGGAAACAAUAAUAGCUUCAUUGGAUGCAGAAAAAGCUUUCGAUUGAAGGAAAGGAAAGCAAUUUAUCAACUUCUGCACAGGGGGACAAGACAAGGAUGCCUACUCUCUCCUUCCCUCUUCACCGUCUGCAUUGAACCACUUGCUGCAACCGUCCACCAGAACAAUCGUAUUGAAGGUGUGCAAUCCUCAACGGUAAGACAUAAAAUAAGAAUAUACGCAGAUGGUAUCCUACUCUAUUUACAAAACCCACUACAAGAAACCAUUAACCUAUUCAGUAGAUUAUCUAAAAUUUCAAACUACUCUAACAACAAGUCAGAAUUAUCACUGUUGCAUCUCUUUAAAAAAGAGCUGGAAUCUAGCAACCCUACCAACACCCAUCCCUCUUUCCACAGACACCAAAAGAUAGCCAGGUGUAAUUAUUUCCCCCCAGCUAUCAGAGCUUGUGCACUUAAAUUUUAAACCACUGAUCAAAAUGAUAGAAGAUGACACAGACAGAUGGAUGAAUCUACCAGUGUCAUUAAUCACCAAGAUGACAGUACUACCCAAAAGAACUACUUUUAACUACUUUUCACAUGGUUUACAGAUUCUGCAGCCAUGCACACGACUGAUUAUCAGUUAAAGAUAUACUGUACAAAUGCCUUCCUCUGUAUAGUCUAAGUUAACCAAAAAAGAUUUUAAAAAAACCCAAAGAUAAUAAAGAAUAAAAAAAGAAACAAAAUUUAUAAUGAAUGAGCAAUAAAUAAAAAGAGGUAUGGACACUGUGGUGGGUGAAACAAGCACUAUUAGGCUCCAGAAAUGAAAUAACUAACACUUUAAUGGCAUGGAGUAAAACAUGACCAAAGCAGAAAACACAAUAUGGAGGCAAUGGUUACCAGUUUAAUGAUGAACAACGGUAAAAUUAAACAGUUAAUGUACCAAACAUUAAAAUUGUUUGAUUACAGUGCUUUGAAAAACUCACAGUAACAACACAUAUUGCAUGCAACGUAGGUUUGUUGUUGGUCAAUGAACAUGGCGGAGAGGAGUAACAAUGCUCCAGAGCUUCAGCCUAGUCCUCAGAGAACUCAGUCUGAAGUGUGGUCGUGUUUUGGUUUUUAUAACAUAACAUUAUAUAUUUAUAACAUUAUAGUCCCCACUAUUGGUACUAUCACCAUUUACCCUUGUUCUUCUGCGACUACUACUACUGCUUCUAUUAUCAAUACUAUUAUCAAUUAUAUGACAUAUCAAUCUAAAUGAGUACUUAAUAGAACAACUGACUGAUCAGUUUAUCAAUCAAUUUAUUUUAUUAUUUGUUACUGCUGGGAGACUUCCAAUUAUGCACUGAGCUCCUCUUGCCUCCUCUACCUCUCCAUCUGUAUGCAUUCUUAUGCCAUUAAUGCAUGUUACUAACUUCCCUCCUCCCAUAGUUUUGUGCUUUCCUUGUCCCGUUUUUUUCUCCUUCUGUUGCUUUCAGGUGUUUCUGCCUCCAGAGCUGUGGAGUCUGGAUCUGUGGUUUUAGGCUUCCUGCUGCCCCCAUGUUCCUGCUUGACACCCGCUGCUACAAUUACUAUUAUGAGCAUUAACACUGCUAUCAUUAUUAGUACUAUUAUUCUUUUACAUUGAAAUCUGUACCACAA